ensembl:lncRNA
CAGCCUUGGGGGCAUGACAUGGAUUGUCACUGAACUGAUGCUCAGAUGAGAUACAGGGAUUUGUAUCUGUCUCUAGUCUUUCAUUAUACAUAACCAUUUCCUCAGACUCAGGUCCGUACAGUGACCUGGUGUGUUUGCAUUGUCCAGUGCUGCUCACAUCCCCCUCCAGGCUGUUCCCCUCCACAUAGGUACCAUCCUGACCUUCUACAUAGGAGUCAUCCUUGGGACAAUAAGUACCAUCCUCACAUUCCACGUAGGUUCCGUCUUGGUGUUCCACGUAGGUUCUGUCUUGGUGUUCCGCGUAGGUUCUGUCUUGGUGUUCCACGUAGGUCCUGUCUUGGUGUUCCGUGUAGGUUCUGUCUUGGUGUUCCGCGUAGGUUCUGUCUUGGUGUUCUGCGUAGGUUCUGUCUUGGUGUUCCACAUAGAUGCCAUCCUCACUAUCUACAUAACUUCCAUCCUGAGGCUCAGGAUAGUGUUUGUAGUACCUCACCUGCAUACUCUGGUCUUCCACCUGUAGUACCUGAUCAAUGUCUUGCUCCACACCCUCCACGUCCGAACCCACGUUGUCAUACUCUGAGCAGCUGUCCUCCUCCUCCUCUUCCUCCUCAUCCAUGCUGUCAGGGAUGAUGGUGUCACCGGGCUGGUUCAGCGGGGGCUCAGAGGAGACACUCGCUGUAGCAGGGACAGGAAGAGGUGAACCGGAGGGACUAAUCAGAUACGG